CAGCCGCCGCGGUAAUACGAAGGGGGCUAGCGUUGCUCGGAAUUACUGGGCGUAAAGCGCACGUAGGCGGACCGAUAAGUCGGGAGUGAAAUCCUGGAGCUCAACUCCAGAACUGCCUUCGAAACUGCCGGUCUUGAGUUCGGGAGAGGUGAGUGGAACUGCGAGUGUAGAGGUGAAAUUCGUAGAUAUUCGCAAGAACACCAGUGGCGAAGGCGGCUCACUGGCCCGAUACUGACGCUGAGGCGCGAAAGCGUGGGGAGCAAACAGGAUUAGAGACCCGCGUAGUCCCUGUCUCUUAUAC
rnacentral:rRNA from 1 species